GGUAGCUCAGUUGGUAGAGUGCUUGCCUUGCAUGCAAAAGACCCUGGGUUCAAUCUCCAGAACCA
rnacentral:tRNA from 1 species